rnacentral:sRNA from 1 species
ACACAAGAAGGUAGGAGAGAAAAGCCAUGGCUGACAAGUUCCUGAAGGAGAAGAGAAAGCUGUUUAUCCGUUCCAUGGGUGAAGGUACAAUAAAUGGCUUACUGGAUGAAUUAUUACAGACAAGAGUGCUGAACCAGGAAGAGAUGGAGAAAGUAAAACGUGAAAAUGCUACAGCUAUGGAUAAGACUCGAGCUUUGAUUGACUCCGUUAUUCCGAAAGGGGCACAGGCAUGCCAAAUUUGCAUCACAUACAUUUGUGAAGAAGACAAUUACCUGGCAGGGACGCUGGGACUCUCAGCAGAUCAAACAUCUGGAAAUUACCUUAAUAUGCAAGACUCUCAAGGAGUACUUUCUUCCUUUCCAGCUCCUCAGGCAGUGCAGGACAACCCAGCUAUGCCCACAUCCUCAGGCUCAGAAGGGAAUGUCAAGCUUUGCUCCCUAGAAGAAGCGCAAAGGAUAUGGAAAGAAAAGUCGGCAGAGGUGCCAUGCUCAGAACACAAGGAUAGAGUGGGGUGAAAGAAACACUUCAGGCAGUUCUGAAAUGCAGUGGCUUAUUCUUAGAGUCAACUUCAUUAAGCAGUUCUAGAGAAUCAUACUUCUGCUCCCCUUACAUAAAGGAUUUCUAUAUCCUAGAAUCCCAGGUUUAUAGAAAGAGGUCCAAAUUGGAUCCACUUCCUCGGUAAAUAACAUCAGUAAUGACAGCUAUUGAAUGCUUAUUAAGAAUGGGCAUUGUUCUAAGCAUUUUGCACAUGAUAAUACAUAAUUUUUAACCUUAAACACAACCCAUUUUAGAGAUCAAGAAGCUGAGACAGGGGAUUGUUAAAUAUUUUUCCCAAAGAAAAACAAUCAGAAAUUGGAACAAUCAGUUUUAGAAUUCAGUCAUUUUUGCUUCAAAGCUUGUGCAUCUUUCAAAAUCCUACCUAUCAAGAACAAUGAAGUCAGAAGCUCAGCUGCCACCUGGGCAUUUGCAAUGUCCAUGCAUACUCUUGAAGCAGCAUUCAAUUCUGUUCCCCCUUUCCAAUGUAUGGUUCAUGGGGUUUGGCAUCUUGAUAGGACUAAGGAAGGGGAAGCUGUCAUAAACCAGCAAGGGAAAUAUUUAAUUGGAAAGAACAAGGCUGUUCAUUCAAAUUGCAUUUCCUACAGAUUUAUCCAAUAAUGGACAAGUCAAGCCGCACACGCCUUGCUCUCAUUAUCUGCAAUGAAGA